rnacentral:rRNA from 1 species
ACGGAGGAUGCAAGCGUUAUCCGGAUUUAUUGGGUUUAAAGGGUGCGUAGGCGGAAUGGUAAGUUAGUGGUGAAAUCCCCCGGCUCAACCGGGGAACUGCCAUUAAUACUGCCGUUCUUGAGUAUAGUUGAAGUGGGCGGAAUGUAUCAUGUAGCGGUGAAAUGCUUAGAUAUGAUACAGAACACCGAUAGCGUAGGCAGCUCGCUAAACUAUAACUGACGCUCAGGCACGAAAGCGUGGGGAGCAAACAGG